rnacentral:rRNA from 1 species
ACUCAAUAGAUACCCCGGUAGUCCACGCCGUAAACGAUGAUAACUAGCUGUCGGGGGCCAUGGGCUUUCGGUGGCGCAGCUAAACGCAUUAAGUUAUCCGCCUGGGGAGUACGGCCGCAAGGUUAAAACUACAAAGAAAUUGACGGGGGCCGUGCACAAGCGGUGGAGCAUGUGGUUUAAAUUCGAAGCAACGCGCAGAACCUUACCAGCGUUUGACAUCCUGAUCGCGGUUACCAGAGAUGGUUUCCUUCAGUUCGGCUGGAUCAGUGACAGGUGCUGCAUGGCUGUCGUCAGCUCGUGUCGUGAGAUGUUGGGUUUAAAGUCCCGCAACGAGCGCAACCCUCGUCUUUAGUUGCCAUCACUCAGUUGGGCACUCUAAAGAAACCCGCCGGUGAUAAGCCGGAGGAA